rnacentral:rRNA from 2 species
UUAGAGUGUUUAAAGCAGGCUAACGCUUGAAUACAUUAGCAUGGAAUAAUGAAAUAGGACGUCCGAUCCUAUUUUGUUGGUUUCUAGGAUUGACGUAAUGAUUAAUAGGGAUAGUUGGGGGCAUUAGUAUUCAAUUGUCAGAGGUGAAAUUCUUGGAUUUAUUGAAGACUAACUACUGCGAAAGCAUUGCCAAGGAUGUUUUCAUUAAUCAGGAACGAAAGUUAGGGGAUCGAGGACGAUCAGAUACCGUCCUAGUCUCAACCAUAAACGAUGCCGACCAGGGAUCGGACGGUGUUAUUUUUUGACCCGUUCGGCGCCUUACGGGAAAC